GAUGAACGCUGGCGGCGUGCCUAAUACAUGCAAGUCGAGCGAACGGACGAGAAGCUUGCUUUUCUGAUGUUAGCGGCGGACGGGUGAGUAACACGUGGAUAACCUACCUAUAAGACUGGGAUAACUUCGGGAAACCGGAGCUAAUACCGGAUAAUAUUUUGAACCGCAUGGUUCAAAAGUGAAAGACGGUCUUGCUGUCACUUAUAGAUGGAUCCGCGCUGCAUUAGCUAGUUGGUAAGGUAACGGCUUACCAAGGCAACGAUGCAUAGCCGACCUGAGGGGGUGAUCGGCCACACUGGAACUGAGACACGGUCCAGACUCCUACGGGAGGCAGCAGUAGGGAAUCUUCCGCAAUGGGCGAAGGCCUGACGGAGCAACGCCGCGUGAGUGAUGAAGGUCUUCGGAUCGUAAAACUCUGUUAUUAGGGAAGAACAUAUGUGUAAGUAACUGUGCACAUCUUGACGGUACCUAAUCAGAAAGCCACGGCUAACUACGUG
rnacentral:rRNA from 1 species